GUUUUAAUAAUUUAAAAAAAAUAUUGGUCUUGUAAACCAAAAUUAAGGACAGUCUUUUAAAACU
rnacentral:tRNA from 1 species